CGAGUUGGACCAGCCCGUGCCGGUGACAACCCCGGUAGAAGAUCGACAUGAAAUAAUAGCAUGCUACUGUUUUCCGUUCGCGUGGGUGUCAAGCAUGUCUCGUCACGAAUUGGGCCAACUCGCAACGGGUAAGGAAUCACACCACAAAAGGUCGACGUGAAGUAGAAGCAAGCUACUAUGUUUGUUCGGUGAGUAGGCGAGCCGGAGUCCCGUAUCCUUUUCUUUACCCUUCCUUUAUUUCCAUCAUCAAUCCUUUCACUAUCCCUUAUCAAGUAAAGUUGGUAAUUCAUUUGCACAGGCAUAUAGCCUCUGCAAAUAUUUAUGGGCGCUGCUGGUCGAUACACGCUUCACAAUCGAUCAACUGGCUUCUUUGCCAACUAUCAGAUAGAAAUAAUUAUGUACCUACAUUAAUUAUGUAUAUACAUUCAUAUUAUCUCGUAUAUUAAUUUUAAGCGUAUUAAUGUUAAAUGAGUCCUUCCUUUAUAUUAUAUUCAUAUGUUUUUUUGUAAUUGUAUUAGCAAAUACCCAACCGUUAACAAUCCUUUGUUUAUUGAAAGUACUA